UCUUAUGACUUCUCCAGGCGACAGUUUUUCACAUUUUCGGUGACAAAGGAGAAGACAAGAGUGGCACUGUAUUCCACCAUCAUCCUUCUUGCUUUCCUUCUUGCAAUGACAGUGGAAAGUGUUGAUCUGUUUCUUCGUUUCAACUGACUGACGCCCAUGCAUCUUCAUCAAACAACUUUCGGAAUUCUUCCAACUUUAACUCAGGAUUUUGGACUGCACUGCUGACUUGCGCAGGCAUCUGAAAGACCAUCUCUUCAGUUACAAUGUGCUUCGAAAGAAGUAUUUAUUCGGCUUUUUCCCGUCCGAUAAACCAAGUCAGGAAUACUGCAAUCAAAGAAAAAUAAUUAUUGCGUGUUGGUGAGUAAAAGGAAUCAAUGAUUUUACUUAGUUUUUGAUCUGCCUUUUUUUUUCGAAUUGCUUAGGGGCAUUUUUAUGAUGAUCCAGCCGUCUGGUUCCUUUCGGUCGCCCAGCUCGAGUUUUGGUGUUGGGGAGCAUAAGCAUCAUCAAAUCGUCUUCUACUCUUGGUCUUUUUGGCUCCCGGUUCUCAUCAGAACUACUUUGCUGGUCAUCUGCAGCUUCUGAUGGAGGUUCUAUUGGGCCAUAAGAGUGGUCCAAGUAGAUUGAUGUCAUUCGGGCGUCUGUAUCUGCCGUAGCUCGAACAACUGGAUCUGCCGGAGCUUGAACGACUGGAUCUGCCGGAGCUCGAACGACUGGAUCUGCCGGAGCUUGAACGACUGGAUCUCUUUGAGUUUGAACGAUUGGAUCUGCCAGAGUUUUAUAUUAGGCUCAUUCCGUCGGAUGCAUAACUUGACCUGUUCCAGUACUUGGAGGUAUCCCUCGAAGGCAGGCAAGGGUAUAUUUUGAAGUUCAUUAGCCAAGGUUUUGGCUAAUUGAAGGGCUCUGCUGUACAUGUCUUCUCAAGUGACUCGAUCUCGAUUUCUUCGUUGUUGAAUUACGACCGGUGACCAAGCUUCCGGGUGUUCGUCUUGUGAAUC